AAGGUCCUCCCCGUAGUCCUCGGGUGCCUUUCAGGAGCCUCCCUGUGAAGAGCCAAGGCGCUGUCUCUGUGAGCGGUGGUGUGGAAAUACCCGUCUGGACUUCACCUGCACCCAGGAAAGAGCCAAAAAGGAAAAGCUGGACGAGGGAGACAGCAGGGUGUAUCUCCAAGGGAUGAAUCUGAAAGACGUUUGGUCCUGCUCCCAAGGGAUGUCUUUAUGCCUGCUCCCGUGUUGGCAGACCCGAGGCUGCUGUUUGCAUCUCUAGCAGCAGACAGAUCAGACCCCGGGCUUUCUGUGACUCAAGCUCCUGAUUUGGCCAACCCAGCUCAUGCUAAGGCCUCAUGUGUGCUGGGAGCAGCAGCAUUGGAUUGAAGCAGAGCCACGUAGGCAGGACAGGGAGCCAGGAAGAACUAAUGGGCCUUUAUGCAGCCAUGGUGAAAACAGUGAUUUUAGCUGAAUUGGAAGGAAUAGCACCUCUUGCUCCAGGAGCUUGACAACCCCGCCCAACUGAACUGCAUCCUUGGGAGGUGAUUUGGGAGCCUGCACACUUCUGAAAUGUGUCUAAUGGAAGCUGAGGGGAUGUGGGAAUCUUUAGCAUUGGCCAUUAAGACAAGCUUAAGUGGUAUUACUCUCCAAGAGGUCCUUCAGUGUAGGCUGGCAGAUUUACCACUAUACAUCCCAGACGGUAAAAGCCAAGGGAGAUCCUCAGCUGAGAAAAUGUAAAAGAGCCAGCCUAUCUCCAUGUGAAAGACAAAAGGGAAAAUUGAGAAACAUGGUCAGUUACUACUGAGUGUAAAAGAUGAGUUUAGAGAAGAAGCUGUCUCUGAGAUGCCAACUUUCCUUCUGUGGCAAUGAACAAGUUUUCCUCUUUUAUUUCUCAUAACCCUCUGGGAUCUGUGUUUGGAGACAGGGUGACACCAUAUGUUCAAAGGUGUUAAAAAUGACAAUAUAAUAUUGGCUUUCACAUUUAUGUACUAACUUUUACAUGUUGUUAUUGAUCAUAAAUAUUUAGAUAUGGUACAAUUUGUAACUCCUUUUGGCUGCUUAUUAGUGUAACACAAUCUAUUAGUUUUUGCACUGUGUAGCUUGUAGAAGUAGUGGUGUGAUGAAUGUAUUCUAUUGUAGGCCUUAGCAAAACACAAAAUGUUAAAAUGCUCCUGUGUAACUAAGGGAAUAGUGUAGGGCAAUUACGCUUGUUUCCCCCACAUCUGCUGACUGACCUCUCCAAGUGAUAAGAUAACAGUGACACAAACCGGAGCAUGGAGAAGAAUUAUAGAAGAACUUGUUAACUCCUUAUCAGGGAGUGUGAAACAACAGGAUGGAAACACAAGAAGAAAUAAAAUAUAUGGACUUAGCCCACAGGAUGUCAUGCAGAUAAGUCAGAGUGUAAAAUUAAGCAAAAGAGUUCCUGAAACAUCAAAAAGCUCACAAGAAUGCUUGAAUAAUGUAUGAAACACAUGAAUAUGCAUGCACCUCAGUAAUGUAACGGUAUACAGAUAACACUGUCUUAAUCUGCUGUUGUGUCCUUUGGCCAAUAGCUAAAACACCCCAGUGCUAGACAUUGUCCCCUUUUAUCCCCUCAUUAAACUUUUAAAAAUUC